UAAGGAAUCUUCCACAAUGGACGAAAGUCUGAUGGAGCAACGCCGCGUGCAGGAUGACGGCCUUCGGGUUGUAAACUGCUUUUAUAUGGGAAGAUUAUGACGGUACCAUAUGAAUAAGGACCGGCUAACUACGUGCCAGCAGCCGCGGUAAUACGUAGGGUCCAAGCGUUAUCCGGAAUCACUGGGCGUAAAGCGUGCGUAGGUGGAUGCUUAAGUGAGUUGUUAAAUCGUGUGGCUCAACCAUAUCGAUGCAAUUCAUACUGGGCAUCUAGAGGACAGCAGAGGCAAGUGGAAUUACGAGUGUAGCAGUGAAAUGCGUAGAUAUUACAAGGAACACCAAUGGCGAAGGCAGCUUGCUGGGCCACUCCUGACACUGAGGUACGAAAGCGUGGGGAGCGAACAGGAUUAGAUACCCCUGUAGUCC
rnacentral:rRNA from 1 species